GGAUAGAAUCAGAAUGUAUUUUUGAUAAAUGAAACAGUCUUUCAUCUUCAAGUAUAUAAAAAGAUCACUUUAUUCUAUUUUUAGGGAGCUAUUAAAUAUCUCUGUGCCUAGAGAACAAGAGGGAAUUGGAAAAGCCAUUAGUAACACUUUCCAACCUGAAAGAGUGAAAAGCCCUAAAUGAUGCUUGAGGCUAUUGGGGGCUGGGGCUUCUGUGGGGGGUUUUGAAAGCACCUGGGUUCCUCAGAACCUCUGGGCAUUUUUAAGGGUGUAACAGGGCUUUGAGGAUCUCUGUGCCACUUUGAUCAAGUUGAGCUUUGCCUUCCAGAUUCCGUACAUAGAAACCAGUGCCAAGGACCCACCUCUCAAUGUCGACAAAGCCUUCCAUGACCUCGUUAGAGUAAUUAGGCAACAGAUUCCGGAAAAAAGCCA
rnacentral:lncRNA from 1 species